rnacentral:rRNA from 1 species
AUUGAACGCUGGCGGCAGGCCUAACACAUGCAAGUCGAGCGAAGCGGCGGAUGGGUGAGUACCGCCUGGGUAACCUGCCCUUAAGCCUGGGAUACCAUCUGGAAACAGAUGCCAAUACCGGAUCCUAAAGUAUGGACCUGCGAUGCAUUAGCUAGUUGGUAAGGUAACGGCUUACCAAGGCGAUGAUGCAUAGCCGAGUUGAGAGACUGAUAGGCCACAUUGGGACUGAGACACGGCCCAAACUCCUACGGGAGGCAGCAGUAGGGAAUCUUCCACAAUGGACGAAAGUCUGAUGGAGCAACGCCGCGUGAGUGAAGAAGGUUUUCGGAUCGUAAAGCUCUGUUGUUGGUGAAGCGGUAAUCAACCAGAAAGUCACGGCUAACUCCGUGCCAGCCGCCGCGGUAAUAC